rnacentral:ncRNA from 1 species
AACACGUGGGAAAAUUCCAUUUAAUGCGUAAACAUUUCCUUUUAGUCUUCAAAAGGUAAUGCUUAUGUAUUAAAUGGAAGUCCCAGUAAACGGCAGCCGUAACUCUGACGGUCCCAAGGUAGCGAAAUUCAUUGUCGGGUAAGUUCCGACCUGCAUGAAU